UACGAAGGGGGCUAGCGUUGCUCGGAAUCACUGGGCGUAAAGGGUGCGUAGGCGGGUCUUUAAGUCAGGGGUGAAAUCCUGGAGCUCAACUCCGGAACUGCCUUUGAUACUGGAAAGCUUGAGUUCGGGAGAGGUGAGUGGAACUGCGAGUGUAGAGGUGAAAUUCGUAGAUAUUCGCAAGAACACCAGUGGCGAAGGCGGCUCACUGGCCCGAUACUGACGCUGAGGUGCGAAAGCGUGGGGAGCAAACAGG
rnacentral:rRNA from 1 species